rnacentral:rRNA from 1 species
AUUGAACGCUGGCGGCAGGCCUAACACAUGCAAGUCGAACGAGUGGCGGACGGGUGAGUAAUGUCUGGGAAACUGCCUGAUGGAGGGGGAUAACUACUGGAAACGGUAGCUAAUACCGCAUACGGUCGUAUGUGCCCAGAUGGGAUGAGCUAGUAGGUGUGGUAACGGCUCACCUAGGCGACGAUCCCUAGCUGGUCUGAGAGGAUGACCAGCCACACUGGAACUGAGACACGGCCCAGACUCCUACGGGAGGCAGCAGUGGGGAAUAUUGGACAAUGGGCGCAAGCCUGAUAGAGCCAUGCCGCGUGUAUGAAGAAGGUCUUCGGGUCGUAAAGCACUGUUAGCGGGGAGGCGGUAUCCGACGAAGAAGCCCCGGCUAACUCCGUGCCAGCAGCCGCGGUAAUAC